UACAGAGGUCCCAAGCGUUGUUCGGAUUCACUGGGCGUAAAGGGUGCGUAGGUGGCCGGUUAAGUCUGACGUGAAAUCUCCGAGCCUAACUCGGAAACUGCAUCGGAAACUAUCCGGCUCGAGGGUUGGAGGGGGGACUGGAAUACUUGGUGUAGCAGUGAAAUGCGUAGAUAUCAAGUGGAACACCAGUGGCGAAGGCGAGUCCCUGGACAACUCCUGAUACUGAGGCACGAAAGCUAGGGGAGCAAACAGG
rnacentral:rRNA from 1 species